GUUUGACGUUAGCGACAGAAGAAGCACCGGCUACUCCGUGCCAGCAGCCGCGGUAAUACGGAGGGUGCGAGCGUUAAUCGGAAUUACUGGGCGUAAAGCGCAUGCAGGUGGUUUGUUAAGUCAGAUGUGAAAGCCCGGGGCUCAACCUCGGAAUUGCAUUUGAAACUGGCAGACUAGAGUACUGUAGAGGGGGGUAGAAUUUCAGGUGUAGCGGUGAAAUGCGUAGAGAUCUGAAGGAAUACCGGUGGCGAAGGCGGCCCCCUGGACAGAUACUGACACUCAGAUGCGAAAGCGUGGGGAGCAAACAGGAUUAGAUACCCUGGUAGUCCACGCCGUAAACGAUGUCUACUUGGAGGUUGUGGCCUUGAGCCGUGGCUUUCGGAGCUAACGCGUUAAGUAGACCGCCUGGGGAGUACGGUCGCAAGAUUAAAACUCAAAUGAAUUGACGGGGGCCCGCACAAGCGGUGGAGCAUGUGGUUUAAUUCGAUGCAACGCGAAGAACCUUACCUACUCUUGACAUCCAGAGAACUUUCCAGAGAUGGAUUGGUGCCUUCGGGAACUCUGAGACAGGUGCUGCAUGGCUGUCGUCAGCUCGUGUUGUGAAAUGUUGGGUUAAGUCCCGCAACGAGCGCAACCCUUAUCCUUGUUUGCCAGCGAGUAAUGUCGGGAACUCCAGGGAGACUGCCGGUGAUAAACCGGAGGAAGGUGGGGACGACGUCAAGUCAUCAUGGCCCUUACGAGUAGGGCUACACACGUGCUACAAUGGCGCAUACAGAGGGCAGCCAACUUGCGAAAGUGAGCGAAUCCCAAAAAGUGCGUCGUAGUCCGGAUUGGAGUCUGCAACUCGACUCCAUGAAGUCGGAAUCGCUAGUAAUCGUGGAUCAGAAUGCCACGGUGAAUACGUUCCCGGGCCUUGUACACACCGCCCGUCACACCAUGGGAGUGGGCUGCAAAAGAAGUAGGUAGUUUAACCUUCGGGGGGACGCUUACCACUUUGUGGUUCAUGACUGGGGUGAAGUCGUAACAAGGUAGCGCUAGGGGAACCUGGCGCUGGAUCACCUCCUUAAACGAUGAU
rnacentral:rRNA from 1 species